GUUGUUGCAGUUAAAAAGCUCGUAGUUGAAUUUCGGGGUUAGUAGGUUGGUCAUGCCUCUGGUAUGUACUGGUCUCACUGAUUCCUCCUGCCUGAUGAACCGUAAUGCCAUUAAUUUGGUGUUGCGGGGAAUUUGGACUGUUACUUUGAAAAAAUUUGAGUGUUUAAAGCAGGCAUACGCUUGAAUACAUUAGCAUGGAAUAAUGAAAUAGGACGUUUGAUUCUAUUUU
rnacentral:rRNA from 1 species